AGAGUUUGAUCCUGGCUCAGGAUGAACGCUAGCGGCAGGCCUAACACAUGCAAGUCGUGGGGUAACAGUUCCUUCGGGAAGCUGACGACCGGCGCACGGGUGAGUAACGCGUAUGCAAUCUGCCUGUAACAGGAAGAUAGCCCGGAGAAAUCCGGAUUAAUAUUCCAUAAUACUUUAAAGAGGCAUCUCUUUAAUUUUAAAGCUUCGGCGGUUACAGAUGAGCAUGCGUGCCAUUAGUUAGUUGGUAGGGUAACGGCCUACCAAGGCUACGAUGGCUACGGGGUCUUAAAGGAUGGUCCCGCACACUGGUACUGAGACACGGACCAGACUCCUACGGGAGGCAGCAGUGAGGAAUAUUGGGCAAUGGAGGCAACUCUGACCCAGCCAUGCCGCGUGCAGGAUGACGGCCUUAUGGGUUGUAAACUGCUUUUCUACGGGAAGAAAAUGUUUUACGUGUAAAACACUGACGGUACCGUAGGAAUAAGCAUCGGCUAACUCCGUGCCAGCAGCCGCGGUAAUACGGAGGAUGCAGGCGUUAUCCGGAUUUAUUAGGUUUAAAGGGUGCGUAGGCGGAAAUUUAAGUCAGUGGUGAAAUCCUACAGCUUAACUGUAGAACUGCCAUUGAUACUGAAUUUCUUGAGUACGGUUGAGGUAGGCGGAAUGUGUAGUGUAGCGGUGAAAUGCAUAGAUAUUACACAGAACACCAAUUGCGAAGGCAGCUUACUAAGCCGUUACUGACGCUGAUUCACGAAAGCGUGGGGAGCGAACAGGAUUAGAUACCCUGGUAGUCCACGCCGUAAACGAUGAUUACUCGUUGUUGGCGAUACACAGUCAGCGACUGAGCGAAAGCAUUAAGUAAUCCACCUGGGGAGUACGUUCGCAAGAAUGAAACUCAAAGGAAUUGACGGGGGCCCGCACAAGCGGAGGAACAUGUGGUUUAAUUCGAUAAUACGCGAGGAACCUUACCUGGGCUUAAAUGCUAUGCACCGUCAGGUGUCACAUGCUGAAAGGUGUGUUUAAAAUUGCAAGGUGCUGCAUGGCUGUCGUCAGCUCGUGCCGUGAGGUGUCGGGUUAAGUCCCAUAACGAGCGCAACCCCUAUUCUUAGUUGCCAGCGGGUAAUGCCGGGGACUCUAAGGAGACUGCCACCGUAAGGUGUGAGGAAGGUGGGGAUGACGUCAAGUCAGCACGGCCCUUACGUCCAGGGCUACACACGUGUUACAAUGGUCGGUACAAAGGGCAGCUACCUGGCAACAGGAUGCUAAUCUCAAAAACCGGUCUUAGUUCGGAUCGAAGUCUGCAACUCGACUUCGUGAAGUUGGAUUCGCUAGUAAUCGUAUAUCAGCAAUGAUACGGUGAAUACGUUCCCGGGCCUUGUACACACCGCCCGUCAAGCCAUGGGAGCCGGGGGUACCUGAAG
rnacentral:rRNA from 1 species